UGGGGAAUUUUGGACAAUGGGCGAAAGCCUGAUCCAGCCAUGCCGCGUGCAGGAUGAAGGCCUUCGGGUUGUAAACUGCUUUUGUACGGAACGAAAAGCCUCUUUCUAAUAAAGAGAGGUCAUGACGGUACCGUAAGAAUAAGCACCGGCUAACUACGUGCCAGCAGCCGCGGUAAUACGUAGGGUGCAAGCGUUAAUCGGAAUUACUGGGCGUAAAGCGUGCGCAGGCGGUUUUGUAAGACAGAGGUGAAAUCCCCGGGCUCAACCUGGGAACUGCCUUUGUGACUGCAAGGCUGGAGUGCGGCAGAGGGGGAUGGAAUUCCGCGUGUAGCAGUGAAAUGCGUAGAUAUGCGGAGGAACACCGAUGGCGAAGGCAAUCCCCUGGGCCUGCACUGACGCUCAUGCACGAAAGCGUGGGGAGCAAACAGGAUUAGAUACCCUGGUAGUCCACGCCCUAAACGAUGUCAACUGGUUGUUGGGUCUUCACUGACUCAGUAACGAAGCUAACGCGUGAAGUUGACCGCCUGGGGAGUACGCCGCAAGGUUGAAACUCAAAUGAAUUGACGGGG
rnacentral:rRNA from 1 species